UACGAAGGGGGCUAGCGUUGCUCGGAAUCACUGGGCGUAAAGGGUGCGUAGGCGGGUCUUUAAGUCAGGGGUGAAAUCCUGGAGCUCAACUCCAGAACUGCCUUUGAUACUGGGGAUCUCGAGUCCGGAAGAGGUUGGUGGAACUGCGAGUGUAGAGGUGAAAUUCGUAGAUAUUAGGAAGAACACCGGUGGCGAAGGCGGCCCACUGGAUCGGUACUGACGCUGAGGUGCGAAAGCGUGGGGAGCAAACAGG
rnacentral:rRNA from 1 species